CUCCGUCACCAGCAGGAUGCAGUUGUCGUCAAACACAAGGCCAAGCAGAUUCACCAAAUUCUGAUGUUUUAAACUCCUGAAAAGUGAGAUUGGAGGCUGUUGUAGUCAGUCUUCAAUCAGUCUUUAAGAAGUUGUGAAGGGCAGGUGAGACAAAAGGUUGUCAACACUCACGUCAUGAGGCAAGCUUCAUCCAGCAGUCCCUGUGCUGCCUUGCUGCUGUCCUUGAGCCUCUUCACAGCUACUUUGUUACCCUUCCACUCCCCCAGCACCACAUCUCCAAACUCACCCUUCCCUAUGCAGGAAUGUGGAGACAAGAAGCUGCCACCUCAUUCACCUUCAGCAGUUUUCUGUGUGGCUGUGCUACCUCAAUGUGUUCUGUGCAGCAGCUUUGUUACAUCCUCACCAGAGUGACAUGCUGACUAGCAAUAAUUCC